AUCUACCUUUGUGGACGCAGGAGAGCGGCGCCUCCUCACAAUGGCAGCUGGGUCGCAUCGCUGUGCCCCACAGAAACCAGGUGAUCUUCCGGGCAUCCGUCGGUCCUGCCACAACGCCAGCGUUUGUCGCGCUCGACGAUAUCGCAAUCGUGCACCACGAUCGGUGCGAGACCUUUCCGCAAGGCAGCGAGGCCUUUUCCGCAACGGAGCUGCUCACUUGCGAUUUCAAUGGCUGGAACUUCUGCAAAUGGUCGUUACUUGGCUCUUCGGCACCGAAGUGGAUGUUUGGGCUCAGCUGUUUGCCCAACCUUGGCCCUCUUUCAUAUCCUGC